GCUAGCAAUCAGCAAGACUCUGUGGGCGUAGGACCCUCCGAGCCAGGUGCCGGAUAUAAUCUCGUGGUGUGCCGUUUUUUAAGCCGGUCCGAAAAGCGCAAUAUUCGGGUGGGAGUGACCUGAUUUUCCAGAUAAUUGACAAUAGGCUCCCAUGGAAGUCUUCUGUGCAUUUCUGCAAAAAUUUAGGAAACAUUAGGUUUGACACCAUCAUCAUGUUUGCCAAGGCAGCAAAAAUCCCAGCCGGCAAAGCUUCAAGUGUGAUGAAGCGGAACAGCAAGGACAGCACGGAAUGACUGAUCAUUUCAGAAUGCCGUCUAGCGAGAGUUUCCAAUGUGGGAGUUUUCCAUUGUUUUGAAGCAGGAGAAAUAGGGACCGGCUGCUUUGGAAGAAACAUGCU
rnacentral:lncRNA from 1 species